AUACAGAGGGUCCGAGCGUUAAUCGGAAUUACUGGGCGUAAAGCGCGCGUAGGCGGCUAUAUAAGUCAGAUGUGAAAUCCCUGGGCUCAACCUAGGAACUGCAUUUGAAACUGUAUGGCUAGAGUAUGGUAGAGGUGAGUGGAAUUUCAGGUGUAGCGGUGAAAUGCGUAGAGAUCUGAAGGAACAUCAGUGGCGAAGGCGACUCACUGGGCCAUUUCUGACGCUGAGGUGCGAAAGCGUGGGUAGCAAACAGGAUUAGAUACCCUAGUAGUCC
rnacentral:rRNA from 1 species